AUACCCUAUUGACCAAGAGCAAAUGUAGUAAUGUUCUUCUCAGUUUAUUAUCUGAUACACUCUCUAUCCAAGGACAAUAUGGUAAAUGGAUUUUUUGAACAAGGAGAUGGAAUAGAAACUUGCUCUGUCCAUUCUAUGCAUCUACUCAUUAAUGCAGUACUUCCAAGAAUGGUGCAUCUCCC
ensembl:snRNA U2 U2 spliceosomal RNA